GAUGGUGAGUCCAGCAUCUGGUGUGGUGGGAUGUGGCUGAAGGAUGGGCAGCGGGAUUCCAUGUGCCCCUGUGCUGUCCCUCCUGGAGUAAGAGGUGGUACAUCUACACCCUGCCCUGCCCCAGGGCUGCAUUUCUUAUCUGUGCACAUCUCCGGGCCUGGCACCCGCACUUGGCUGCCUGGCCUCACCGUGGUGCCAUGGGUUGGAUGGGGGGCAGAGUCCGUCAAGGCACACUGUGGGUUGAGCAGUGCUGGGGAGCAGGUAGUGGGGAAGGGAGGCAUCUUCUGAUUCAGAUGUUGCUGAGGAGUUCCCAUUCCACACCUGACAUUUAGAAACCAGGAAUCCUGCUGAUGGAUAGGAUUUGAUGUGGUAGAGUAUAUUUCACACUGUGUCAUUUAUCCUGGUGCUGCCUCAUGUGAAAUGUCAGCCAUCCAGGAGCUUUUCUGAUCGCUCUUUGAAGUACUGGUUUCUGAUAAACUCAGGAGAAGGAUGCUUUUUCUCCCCCAGGUCAGGGACGAGGUGUGGCAACAACUUCUCCUCUCUGCACAGGUCCUUCAGUAGAACCUGCCAGCUCAACCCUAUGUACUGAGGGUCACAGCAGGGGUUCUGCUACCCUUCCUUCUCCUGGGGCACCCCUGUUCCUUUUGUGGACUGUGCUAACCCCUUUCUCCCACCCCACCUCUGUCUGACAGCACCCUGCCUGGUGCUCCCUCUCCCUGCCUGUGUCUGGAUUUGCUCCCAACACGCUUUUCAGCCUUUGGAGGAAUAUUUUUAACUCUCCUGGGGUUGCUGCUGUUGACAAUGGAAAUCUAUUGUGUUUUAUGUGCCUGGAAAAUGAAUUUCCAUGUCAGAAGAGGAGAGCAAUUACCACAAGCAAGAGAGAUCAAAUUGGGUCUUUAAAAAGAAAAUAAAGUUCAGAUCUUAUCUGAUUAAUGAGAUUUCUUCCAAACCUUAACAAAUCUUAAUUACAGUGACUCUGCUGGAAGGGAUGAGGUGAAGCUAGGAUUGGGGGCUAUCUAAACAGAACUGCUCUCUUCCAAGCUAGAGUACAUCCCUGCAUGAAAGCAGCAGGGACGGCCAUUGAGUGCAGAAAGCUGCUCAGCUGGAAAUCAGCAAGGCAGGAUUCUCCAUGGAGCCUGAGCAGCUCCUUCCCCAAAGGCUGGCGGUGCUGGGGGAGAGCCCUGUCAGCCCCAACCAGCAGCGAUCCUGCUGGCUUCCUCUGUCCCAGAUCCCAGCAUCGGUUUUGCUUCGGAUCCCUCCUUGCUGCUACAAAAUACUCACUUUCUCUUUCUGCAGUAACAAUAAUUGCUCAGUUCUUCAGGAUUUUUAUUCUCAAUUUCCUGUUUUGUUUUGUUUUCUAAAUCAUCCUCCUGCUUAAAAUCAGCUGAGGGAGGUAAAGUUGUUUAUCCAGUUUAAGCUCACAAAACGUUUUCUGCUUAUUUUGUUGGAUUGCUUGCGUAACACGGGCCAGAGAUUGUCCCCCUGCCACCUCUUUAUUUAACACAAUAACUUCCUUCCCAAAAGAAUAUGAGUCUUGAGCUGAAGAUGUCGAGAAAGGGAGACUCCAGUGCUUCCCGUAAGAGCCUGCUCUAGUGGUUAAUCACCCUGACUUCCUCAGACAAAGUAAAACAAAAUAAAGAAGGUCCAGUAUUUUUAAUUGGGACUUGUCUGGCUUCAGCAUUUAUCCAUUGGCUCUCGUUACGGCUUCCUCCAGUGAUUAAAGAGUUGUUUAGUGCCUGCUAUUUCUUCCCUAGGAUGAUAUUUAUAUGCGAGAAGCAAGUCACCUCUUGAUCCUUUUAAUAAACUAAAUAAAUUGCUCCCUUCAUAUCCUUGUUAUAGUAUGUUUUCCCCCCAGUUUUGGGUAAUGUUCUGGGCUCUUCAAUCCUGUCACCAACAAACAAGCUGAGAUGGAAAGAGGAGGAAACAGAAACAAGUCCAAACCCUUGGAAAAUCAGACAGCCAAACCCUCCCUUUGUCUGUAUGAAUAUAUUGAUUCCCUUCCUAUUGUCUUUGGAAUAAAUUUGGGAAAAGAUGACUUGUCUAAAAUACGUUUUCUCAAUCUCUGUAUCAUUUCAGUUUAAUUAUUAACAGCUAUGAGCAGAGAUGGAACCGGCUGUCAGCAUUAGAGUGAGAGGUAAAAAUGACAACAGAUCUGUGUAUUUAAGCACAUGCAGAAUUUCAGGGUGGGAAUUGCAGGAUGGCGUGCGGAGUGCCCGAGCAUCCCCUCUCUGGGCUCGCUUGUGGCAGAGCCUGGCUGAGGUGGCAAGUGAACGGGCCCCUAUGGGAGUCUGUGCUCCGGUCAGCUCUGGGAAUGAGGCAGCCGAGGAAUUGAAGUCGUGUGAGACAGCCAGGCACAGCAGGGUCUGAAGAGGAGGAAAAUAAAGCAGGUCAAAAAGCAGACUGUGUGACAAGAGAGAAAUUGGAGAAGACUGAGAUAAUGCUCAAUUAGAUCAUGCAGUUCACCUCCCUGGGGCCCAUGACAGACUGGCAAAGUUUAUGAAGAAGCAUUUCUGUCCAUGGAAGAACCAGAUUGACCAGGAUCUGGAGGCAGACUAAAACACUUCAUUAUCUUCACAAGUAGGACCAACUUUUCAGUCAGGGACUCAACCAUUCAUAAAUAUUGAAGGAUUUAAGCAUGUGCUAGGAUUUCAGCACAUGCUUAAGUGCUGGGGAUUUAAAGAGGAACCUUAACUGCUGAGUGCUACUGAGCUGAGGAUGAUUCUCCCAUCCGCUGAGUGUGACACAGAGUCUCCUGAAGAACUCAUAGUCUUUGAGGGAAGACAAGUACCUGAUGCAAGGGGCCAGAUCCUCAGCUGUUGUAAAGCAGCACCAUGUCCAUGGGGCAGUUUACACCCACAACAACUCCAGCCCAGCCGUGGGCUGGAGGCGCUGGGACCAGGGGAUGUGGGCUCAGAUCCCAUCCCAGACCACAGGAAUGGGUAACUUCCAACCUGGAACAAGACCUCCCAUCCCCUCCACCCCCUCUCCCCCAGCCUGUCGCUUAUGUUCAAGGCAAGAACCAUGGGGGGACACGUGUGUGUGUCUAUUUGGGGAGGGAGCGCACCGAGGAGAGGGGGGCAGUGUGGUGACACACUCUGCUCCCAGAUGUGAUACCAGCGAUAAUUUCAAUUUUAUGCCUUUGUUAUGGCUUUAAUCACUUUCUUUAUGCGUUUUGUUCCAGCGAUCAGGGAGAGACACCUGAUAGGCAAAAAGGAUAUCAGGGGAACAAUUUUUAUUUGGAAUGUGGUGAGAAGUCUAAUUAGAAUUUGAAUUCUGCUGAGCCUUGAAAUGGUCGGUACUUUAUCCUGAUCGCCUUAGAUAUUGUUUCGAGUCAAUCAUCUGUCAUAGUGCGGCACGCUGGAGAGAAAGGCUCUCCAUCCAGGCUGGUCUCUCCGUCAGGCUGGGGGCUGCUGGUGGGGAAAGGGAGGGUGAUGGAAGGGAGGGCAGCGGACUUUGCUCUGCCAGAUAGGCUCCCCAGAUAGGAGCAAGCACAAAGGGAGAAAAACCUUGGCACAGAGGUUUCCCUUGCUGCGUACUCAUAGCCCUGCUGCGGGGUACUGCCUGCUGGCCCCUUUCUCAUCAUUGCAGGGCUGUCCCAUUCAAAUGGGGGGUGAGGAAGAGGAGGACUGUGGGUCAACAUAAAUGUCCCCCCAGUGGGAGAGGAGCAUCCUCUCAGAGAUAGUCCACACGGCUCAAGAGAAUUUUGCUGCUUAUCCUUGCUGUACCAAUUAAGUGCUCUGGAGGGUAAGUUCUCACAAGCAGACAAACAGCUAGGAAUGGAUGGAUGGAUGCAUGGAUGGAUGGAUGUACAGACAGAUGUGAAUGGGAAUGGCCCUCCAGAUGGAUUUGUAUGGGACAGAGGUAGAGAUUGCUGAACCCAGUGAGACACAGGGAUGGAUGGGGCACUUAAGAAAGGUGAGAGUUGAGGUGGACGUGCCUCAUCAGGCUGAAUGCAGUAAGCACAGUCAUGAAGGGUAUUUUUUCAGGCUAUCUGCCGACUCAGGUUAAUCUUAUUUCAUUUAUGUUACCAGAAUGCAAGGGAAAGUGGGAACUUGGGAACAUGACAAUAAGGCACUCAGCAACUUUCACAAUUCUUUCAGCUUUAAACUCUGUUCUUAAUAGUUAAAAACCCCACAAACCCACGAUAAGUUCUAGUGUUUCAAACCUAAAAGCCACUCCAGAACUCACCAGGACACCUCCAGUAACAUCUUCCUGUCUCCAGUCCGCAGUGCCUCCCUCUGGUGAGACAGCAGCCUUCAGUCCUGCUCCAACUGCUUCAAUACUGAGUUUAUAAUGAGCUGUGCACUGGUGUGAUCCCUGCUGCUAAGGAUAAGAAGGCGCACCAGGAGGACUGCAGCAUGAUCUAUAUACCAGGAGAGAUGAACUGAGGAGAAUCAUGAACAAUAGAAUCAUUCCAAGAUUCCUAAACUUAUUGAAAUUGAUGGUAUUUUCCCACAUCACUGUUCCUGAACACUCAAGUCCAUGCACCUUCCCACCUAGUUUGCCAGCUGUGGCUGGGGUAAAUUCUGGACAAAUGACCUUAGCCUUUCCACAAGGCAAAGCUGAGGCAGAGGACCGCACCCAGCUGUCUGCAAAGACAGAACAUGAAGUCUGCUGUUCCCCAGGACCAGCCUCAGCCUGAGCAACCCAGCCAAGGGGCCCUGAUUUGUGGGUUCAGUCAACAGCAGGGCAGCUUCUCAGAAAACAUUAUCAGAGAUGUGUGUUUUGAGAGAGAAGCAAAGACAAGAGCAUCUGGACUGCAAUUGGUUUCUCCUCUCCUCUGGGCAUCAUGUGGGAUCCAAGUGCCUCCAGCCCCCUGUGGAGCUGCAGCAGCUACCAAUUGUUCUGGCAGGCCAGAAGAGAGGAGCAGACCUGGGACUGUCACUCUCACCUGGCCAGGGGUCCUUUUACCCCACAGCCAGAUGAGAAAUGAACUUCUCCAAGUGCACAUUGGCAAGCUCCGAAGUGAAGUGCUUAAUAUACCUUGCAGGUAGGAACCGAGCCAUGCUCUGCCUCACACUUCUUUGUCUUGGAGUCCUGCAAAAAUGAGUAGUAGUCAUUGUGCUCACAGACCAUGGUGGCAGGUAAGUCCAGGCCACUUACUAGGGAUUCAGUGAGCCCAGACUCAGCACGGAAGGUCUGCAGUCAGCUGGGUUAUAAAUAGAGUCUGGCUAACCAGGCCAAGAAAUUAAAGGUGUUUUGACAUGGUCACUACAGCAACUGCCACCAUCUAGGUAAAACUGUCAGCUGCAGGAGACCUGUUCCUAACCCAUGCCCGUCAAGAUCAAGAGUGGUCCCAGGUUCUGGGAGGACUGGGUGGCUUGGAGGAGUGCCCUGUCCAUGUACCCAGCCGUGAAGAGCACUAUAAAGGUCUUUGCUGCUCACACCUGGCCCUGUGCCCAGUGCAGAUCCGAGUCAGGAAGAUGGAAGGCAAGGCUCUUCACCAGGUUCUUGUACAGCAUGCAACCACAGCUUAGCAAACUCCAACGUCACCACCGGCCCUGGGUGCCCUGUCCUUCUGCAGCACUGACAUAAAUGGGAUGGCCGAUUUACUAUGCAUGAGAGAUUUCCAGUCGUGGCUAGAUGUUCCUGAUCCACAGUGACCUUUGAUCCAACAGUGAAUGGUGGUAACCUCAACUUUCUGUGUCUGGGCUCCCUGCCCAGUUUUAUGGUUAAGCAUUACAGCAACACCUUUCCCGCUGCCCAGUUUCUCUCUUGGAAACAAAGAUUGCAAUUCUGCAGUGCUGCAGUUAGACCAGUUUAACCUUUCCCUGUCAUGUGGAUGCCCAGACAAGUCCAAGUGGGCUCAGUGGAGACAAGCAGUGUCCUCGCACCUCAGAGACAGCCAAUCUAGCUGCUUGCCUGCACUCUUUCAACUACCUCCUCAAGGCUUGCUCUCCAGCUGUACCUGCACCCACAGUCAAGGGCAAUUUUAUGUUUUCCCUCCAACUCAUGCUCACACUGACCAUCCACACUGCAAACCCCACUCCUCAACCCUGAAUGACCCAUUCAGCCAGCCCCAGUGAUCUCUGGCUGAGACCUGGCUCACUCCACACUGACCUUCAGAGCCACCUCCCUCUGCUUUGCUGUGGCUUUAGAAAUCACUUGAGCAUGAAAGCCCUGAGCACAGGAAGUCCGCCAGGGAAAUCCUGCCCCAAAAUCCCACAUUCCUCAUUUCUUACCCUUACUGCAGCCCCUUUCUGCUGAACCAUCCUGUUGGGGCUAUGCACCUCAGUCCUACAAAAAAACAGGGCAUCUAAUUUUGUGUGUCCAUGCCCUCCCUCUCAGGUAGGAUGAUAGGCCUGGUCCUGGCUUUUUUCAGCAUUUUUGGCUCAGUGGAUGUCUUUCACCAGGCACAUGGGACAUGGAGUUCCGGACUUGCUUAGGGCUAAUAUUUCUGAUUUGUAGGUAAAAGCAGCAGUAAAUGGUGUCUCUAUUACUGCUCCUAAACCUUAGCUACAAAAUAGUCACAGGGCCAAGCAGAACUAGUCAAAGCAUUGAGCAAAUGUUGUAGAAGUGUUUCAAUAUCAUUUCUGUGUAGUAGGAUUGCAAUGGGAUUUCCAGCAGAUGUGUGUAGGAAUUAAAAGCUCUGUUUCUAACA